rnacentral:rRNA from 1 species
UACGGAGGGUGCAAACGUUGCUCGGAAUUAUUGGGCGUAAAGCGCGCGCAGGCGGUCCUUUAAGUCUGAUGUGAAAGCCCACGGCUCAACCGUGGAGGGUCAUUGGAAACUGGGGGACUUGAGUACAGAAGAGGAAAGCGGAAUUCCACGUGUAGCGGUGAAAUGCGUAGAGAUGUGGAGGAACACCAGUGGCGAAGGCGGCUUUCUGGUCUGUAACUGACGCUGAGGCGCGAAAGCGUGGGGAGCAAACAGG